GUCGAGGGGCAGCAUGGCCUAUCUUUCGGGAUGGGCCGAUGGCGACCGGCGCACGGGUGAGUAACGCGUAUCCAACCUUCCCUUUACUGGGGUCCAGCCCGUCGAAAGGCGGAUUAAUCCCCCAUGUUCUCCGUCCCGGACAUCUGUGUCGGAGCAAAGAUUUAUCGGUAAAGGAUGGGGAUGCGUCCGAUUAGCUUGUUGGCGGGGUAACGGCCCACCAAGGCAUCGAUCGGUAGGGGUUCUGAGAGGAAGGUCCCCCACACUGGAACUGAGACACGGUCCAGACUCCUACGGGAGGCAGCAGUGAGGAAUAUUGGUCAAUGGCCGUAAGGCUGAACCAGCCAAGUAGCGUGAGGGAAGACUGCCCUAUGGGUUGUAAACCUCUUUUAUGCGGGGAUAAAGGUGUCCACGUGUGGAUGUUUGCAGGUACCGCAUGAAUAAGGACCGGCUAAUUCCGUGCCAGCAGCCGCGGUAAUACGGAAGGUCCGGGCGUUAUCCGGAUUUAUUGGGUUUAAAGGGAGCGUAGGCCGGUCUUUAAGCGUGCCGUGAAAUUUUGUGGCUCAACCAUGAGAGUGCGGCGCGAACUGGAGACCUUGAGUGCGCGGAAGGCAGGCGGAAUUCGUGGUGUAGCGGUGAAAUGCUUAGAUAUGACGAAGAACCCCGAUUGCGAAGGCAGCCUGCCGCAGCGUUACUGACGCUGAAGCUCGAAAGCGCACCUUUUAAAGGGGAUUAGAAACCCUGGUAGUCCGCGCGGUAAACGAUUGGAUGCCCGCUGUCGGCGAUAUACAGUCGGCGGCCAAGCGAAAGCGUUAAGCAUCCCACUUGGGGAGUACGCCGGCAACGGUGAAACUCAAAGGAAUUGACGGGGGCCCGCACAAGCGGAGGAACAUGUGGUUUAAUUCGAUGAUACGCGAGGAACCUCACCCGGGCUUGAAUUGCAGAGGAAAGAUCCAGAGAUGGUGAUGCCCUUCGGGGCCUCUGUGAAGGUGCUGCAUGGUUGUCGUCAGCUCGUGCCGUGAGGUGUCGGCUUAAGUGCCAUAACGAGCGCAACCCCUUUCCCUAGUUGCCAUCGGUUCUAGCCGGGCACUCUGGGGACACUGCCUCCGCAAGGAGUGAGGAAGGUGGGGAUGACGUCAAAUCAGCACGGCCCUUACGUCCGGGGCUACACACGUGUUACAAUGGGUGAUACAGAGGGCCGGCCGCUGGCAACAUCGGUCCAAUCCUUAAAGUCAUCCUCAGUUCGGACUGGGGUCUGCAACCCGACCCCACGAAGCUGGAUUCGCUAGUAAUCGC
rnacentral:rRNA from 1 species